rnacentral:rRNA from 1 species
CCUACGGGGGGCAGCAGUGGGGGAUAUUGCACAAUGGGCGCAAGCCUGAUGCAGCGACACCGCGUGAGCGAAGAAGUAUUUCGGUAUGUAAAGCUCUAUCAUCAGGGAAGAAAAUGACGGUACCUGGGGAGGAAGCUCCGGCUAACUACGUGCCAGCAGCCGCGGUAAUACGUAGGGAGCGAGCGUUGUCCGGAAUUACUGGGUGUAAAGGGAGCGUAGGCGGGGAUGCAAGUUGGGUGUCAAAACUACCGGCUAAACUGGUAGUCGCACUUAAAACUGCAGCUCUUGAGUGAAGUAGAGGCAGGCGGAAGUCCUGGUGUAGCGGUGAAAUGCGUAGAUAUUAGGAGGAACACCAGUGGCGAAGGCGGCCUGCUGGGCUUUUACUGACGCUGAGGCUCGAAAGUGUGGGGAGCAAACAGGAUUAGAUACCCUUGUAGUC